ACGCUGGCGGCAUGCCUAACACAUGCAAGUCGAACGAGACCUUCGGGUCUAGUGGCGCACGGGUGCGUAACGCGUGGGAACCUGCCUUAGGUUCGGAAUAACUCAGAGAAAUUUGAGCUAAUACCGGAUGAUGUCUUCGGACCAAAGAUUUAUCGCCUUUAGAUGGGCCCGCGUAAGAUUAGCUAGUUGGUGGGGUAAAGGCUCACCAAGGCGACGAUCCUUAGCUGGUCUGAGAGGAUGAUCAGCCACACUGGGACUGAGACACGGCCCAGACUCCUACGGGAGGCAGCAGUGGGGAAUAUUGGACAAUGGGCGAAAGCCUGAUCCAGCAAUGCCGCGUGAGUGAUGAAGGCCUUCGGGUUGUAAAGCUCUUUUACUCGGGACGAUAAUGACGGUACCGAGAGAAUAAGCCCCGGCUAACUCCGUG
rnacentral:rRNA from 1 species